rnacentral:rRNA from 1 species
AAGGGUGGAUCUCUUGGCUCGUGCAUCAAUAAAAAACCCAGCCGCCUGCAAUAAGGAGGGUGAAUUGCAAAAUUCAAUGAAUCAUCCAAUCUUUGAACGCAAAUGGCGCUCUCGGGCUCUCCCGGGAGCCCGUCCGUCUGAGUGUCGG